rfam:Brachypodium distachyon strain Bd21 chromosome 3, whole genome shotgun sequence.
GGAGUACUUCCUCGGUCCAAUAAAAAAUGUCUUAAGUUUAUCAAAAUUUGAAUGUAUCUAGAUAUGAUAGUGUAUAGAUGCAUUCAAAUUUGGUCAAAUUUGAGACAUUCUUUGUUGGACGGAGGAAGUAUUAG